CUGGACUUCUAUUGCACCUGACAUGAGUGUACAUGAGGAGCUCAUUAACCCUCCUGGGAAGAUGGUACCCUUAGAAAUACCCAGCGUCUGCCUCUGAAAACAUGUUCCAUAUCUUUGUAAAGAAGACGAAAACUUCAUCUUAAAGAGCCAAGCCUCUAGGAUUUCUGGGUACUACCAAACCAAGAAGGAAUGGAUGUUGUGACUUAAAACUAUAAGGGAGCUAAGGUGAGGAAAGAGAACAGAGAGACCAAGAAGCUCAAGGAUCAAAUAAUCUCAAGCCUGAACAUCUGUGUAGACUGUGUUCCUUCGGCACAGGCUGACGGAAGCUCUCGGAAUCCAAAGCCAUGGUUUGGGAAUCGAGCAAGAGAAGGAUGGAAAAUGACUGCUCUUCAGCUGUCAUUUACCCCUGACUAUCAUUUUUCACUGGAAAUAAGGAGAGAGCCUGGGAACCUGAUUUCUUUCCUGAGCGUUGGGAUAUGGAUGCAGACAUCAUCAUGGACCGUCCCAAUGCUGAAAGCCAUUUGUUGACUUCAAGAGGAAUGACAACCACAUCCACUUAAGGUCUACACAGCUUCUCAUGUUGCCUAUACAAAAGGUUCCUAACUCAAAGCUGGAGAACUAUACCUACAUAAUUUAUAUUUCUCUUUUAUCUUUUUCAAGAAGUCUUAAGACCAGGAAUUUCUAAUGCUUGAUUGUCACCAGUGCAGAGAAUUACAGGGUGGGUAGGAAUUGAGCCUCAUUCAUUCGGAACCUGAAUGAGAAAUGGCUCUCUUAAGGAACCUGGAUGACACUACUGAAGGAGAGAAGAAACACAUAUUUUCUUUGGGUAAUGAACUCAAUAGGUCACAGUGAAAGACGUUUCUCAGAGGAAGUAUCAAUGCUAUUGCUAAUGUUCCCUCCGGAAGCCUUUUGAGUCAUGCUAUUGAAAAGAACAUCUGCCUCUUAUUGUCCAGUUUGUUGUUCUAGAGCGUGUCAGAAUUUAACAUCAUUUCCUUUGCACACUUGCUUUGGUUUUAAGUUUGUUUGCUGAUCCAUAUGC
ensembl:lncRNA